GACGAACGCGGGCGGCGUGCCUAAUACAUGCAAGUAGAACGCUGAAGAGAGGAGCUUGCUCUUCUGGAUGAGUUGCGAACGGGUGAGUAACGCGUAGGUAACCUGCCUGGUAGCGGGGGAUAACUAUUGGAAACGAUAGCUAAUACCGCAUAAAAUGGAUUAUCGCAUGAUAAUCCAUUGAAAGGUGCAAAUGCAUCACUACCAGAUGGACCUGCGUUGUAUUAGCUAGUUGGUGGGGUAACGGCUCACCAAGGCGACGAUACAUAGCCGACCUGAGAGGGUGAUCGGCCACACUGGGACUGAGACACGGCCCAGACUCCUACGGGAGGCAGCAGUAGGGAAUCUUCGGCAAUGGACGGAAGUCUGACCGAGCAACGCCGCGUGAGUGAAGAAGGUUUUCGGAUCGUAAAGCUCUGUUGUAAGAGAAGAACGAGUGUGAGAGUGGAAAGUUCACACUGUGACGGUAUCUUACCAGAAAGGGACGGCUAACUACGUGCCAGCAGCCGCGGUAAUACGUAGGUCCCGAGCGUUGUCCGGAUUUAUUGGGCGUAAAGCGAGCGCAGGCGGUUAGAUAAGUCUGAAGUUAAAGGCUGUGGCUUAACCAUAGUACGCUUUGGAAACUGUUUAACUUGAGUGCAAGAGGGGAGAGUGGAAUUCCAUGUGUAGCGGUGAAAUGCGUAGAUAUAUGGAGGAACACCGGUGGCGAAAGCGGCUCUCUGGCUUGUAACUGACGCUGAGGCUCGAAAGCGUGGGGAGCAAACAGG
rnacentral:rRNA from 1 species